UACGUAGGGUGCAAGCGUUGUCCGGAAUUAUUGGGCGUAAAGAGCGUGUAGGCGGCCCGACAAGUCCGCUGUGAAAGUCCAGGGCUCAACCCUGGAAUGCCGGUGGAUACUGUCGGGCUAGAGUCCGGAAGGGGCGAGUGGAAUUCCUGGUGUAGCGGUGAAAUGCGCAGAUAUCAGGAGGAACACCGGUGGCGAAGGCGGGUCUCUGGGCCAUUACUGACGCUGAGGAGCGAAAGCGUGGGGAGCGAACAGG
rnacentral:rRNA from 1 species